UCACUUCUGCUAUAUUGGAGGAUCUCCUCUACAGAGUGUCUCCUUGAUAAUCUUCAUUAGGACUAUGUGUCAUCGUAACAAUGGAUUUACAAGGUACACCUGUUGGUUCUGGGCAGGUACCCCCUAUCCAAAGUCAGCCAAGCGGGUCUAGCGGUGCGGAGUCCUUGUGGAUCCCAGUUGCAGAACCUCAAGGUGGAAGAGGCCUAGAGUAUUUAAGACCGCUUGAAGUGCAGUCUCCUCCAGGAACAACUAUUGGUUAUGUAAUCCAGAACUGGAGUCUGUGUCAACCCACUUUUACCAUCCAGAAUGAAAACGAUCAGGAUGUUUUUCUGGUAACGAGAACCAUGGGCUUAUGUUCACCUCUUUCAUUUAAAGUAAAAACUGCAGAGCAGAGAUCGGAGGUGGGAUGAUUAACAUGCGUUUUUUGUGUCUGGGUAUGUGCACAUUCAACAAAGAUUAUGAGAUCCAGUUUCCAUUGGACCUUUAUGUGAAACUGAAAGCUCUCCUGCUUAGUACAGGCCUUUUAUUUGAUUUCCUAUUCUAUAAAAGAAAUGGCUAAAAAUGGAACCAGAGUGUUGGAGGAUUUUCCCAUGGGACUAUUGUGUCCCAUGGGACUAUUCUCCAAGGAGAGGCACACAUGGUUUAAUUUGCUUUCACCGCCCUUUACCUAUACGGUGUUCUCAUUUUACUUCAUUAAUCAAUUGAGAUAUCCAGUAAUAGACGCAGCAGAUGUUAAUGCCGGACUGUGU